rnacentral:rRNA from 1 species
GAUGAACGCUAGCUACAGGCUUAACACAUGCAAGUCGAGGGGAAACGCCAUCGAAAGCUUGCUUUUGAUGGGCGUCGACCGGCGCACGGGUGAGUAACGCGUAUCCAACCUGCCCAUCACUUGGGAAUAACCUUGCGAAAGUAAGACUAAUACCCAAUGAUAUCCCACGAAGGCAUCGGAAUGGGAUUAAAGAUUUAUCGGUGAUGGAUGGGGAUGCGUCUGAUUAGCUUGUUGGCGGGGUAACGGCCCACCAAGGCAACGAUCAGUAGGGGUUCUGAGAGGAAGGUCCCCCACAUUGGAACUGAGACACGGUCCAAACUCCUACGGGAGGCAGCAGUGAGGAAUAUUGGUCAAUGGGCGAGAGCCUGAACCAGCCAAGUAGCGUGCAGGAAGACGGCCCUAUGGGUUGUAAACUGCUUUUAUAAGGGAAUAAAGUGGGUCACGUGUGACUUUUUGCAUGUACCUUAUGAAUAAGGACCGGCUAAGUCCGUG